AAGGCUUUAAGUUAAUUAAACUAAUAUCCUUCAAAGCUAUAAAUAAAGAAAAUUAGUACUUUAGGCCUUA
rnacentral:tRNA from 1 species